UUAUAGUUUAAAAAAAUUUAUUUAAAGUUUAUUUUACAUAUAAAUUUUAGUGUUAAUUUUUAAUUAUUUAAAUAAUAAUUAAUUAGGUUAAUAGUAAUUAAUAUUAAAAAUUUAAGAAAUUAAGAUUUAGAAAUAUUAAAAUUAAAAACUAAUUUUGUGCCAGCAGUUGCGGUUAAACAAAUUUUAAAUUAAAUUUUUUUUAGUUAUUUAUAAAUAAAUUAAUUUUUAUAAUUAAAAUUUUAAAUUAUUAAGUGAAAUUUUAAUUUAGAAAAAAAUUAUUUAAUUUUAUUUAUAAUAUAAAUAAAUUUUAUUAAAAACUAGGAUUAGAUACCCUAUUAUUAAAAAUUUAAAUUAAAAUACUAAAAUAGUAAUUAAUUAUUUAUUGAAACUUAAAUAAAUUGGCGGUAUUUUAGUUCAUUUAGAGGAAUCUGUUUAUUAAUUGAUAAUACACGAAUAAAUUUACUUAAUUUAUAUAAUUUGUAUAUCGUUGUUAAAAAAAUAUUUUUUAAUAAAAAUAAUAUUUAAAAAUUUUUAUAUAAAAAUUAAAUCAGAUCAAGAUGCAGUUUAUAAUUAAGAAUAUAAUGGAUUACAAUAAAUUUAUUUAGAUGAAUAAAAAUUUGUAAAAUUAAUUGAAGGAGGAUUUAAAUGUAAUUUUAUUUAGUUUAUUGAAAUGAUUUAAAAUUAAAAUAUGUACAUAUUGCCCGUCACUUUCAUAAAUAAAUUGAAAUAAGUCGUAACAAAGUAGAGGUACUGGAAAGUGUUUCUAGAAAGAA
rnacentral:ncRNA from 1 species